CAUGGCAGAUUGAGAUUCCAGCACAUUCCUGCAGCUGUAUAUUCUGUGAGUGUCAUCAGGGAGAGAGAGCGGUCCUGAAUGAUUCAGGGCAGCCUGCAGCUCCAGCCAGCAGGGGGCAUGGAUAUUUAAUGUGUUAGUGCUGUUGUUGCCCUCACAGGGGGCCUGAGUUUCUGCUGUCGCCCCCCCGCACACAUUUACACCUCUGUGCUGAAGCAACACCACAGGCCUCCACCAGGCUGAGGGAGUCUGGAGUCUGGAACCUGGAGUCUGGAACCUGGAGUCUGGAACCUGGAGUCUGGAACCUGGAACCUGGAUCUGUGCUGAUGUUGUUGUAAGAGCAGUUAGUGUUCCAGCCUUACUUCAAGGAGUGUUUCCGCCUGGAAAAAUGGAAAACUUUGCCCUGAAGAAGACAUAACUAAUGGAUCAACGAGGACAGGACGUCAGACAGACGGGACGUCAGAAGACAAGAAACCAGACACGUCAGCGUCUGCUCGUCCUCAAACACUGGACGUGACGGAGGGCGAGGAGACAGCUGAGAGGACGUCCACGACCCAGGUGUGUUUGAUGACGUGACGCUGCACCUGAGAACACCAGGAAAAACAACAACAACAACAACAACAACAACAACAACAACAUCAUCAUCACAUGGGUCACUCCUCUCCAGCUGUGAUGUCACCCCACCCUCACCCAAUGACUGCUUGGAUCCAGCCCCCCCCCAUGAUGCUGAAAAGACUGUAGAGCUCUUCUCAUCUCCUUUUCUCCCUGGUUCCAAAUCCUCUGGCUGUGGGAGCGUGUCAUCCUCCUCUUGUCUCAGAAGAACUGUCCUCCUGCUCCGACGGGGGGGACAAAGAGGGACGCCACGUGACCAACCAUGAGGCGCUAACAGACGGACGGACCGAAAGACAGACCGACAGACAGACAAGGGCCUCCUUAUUCCACCAACACACACACACACACACAGAGAGGAGGAACACGACAUGGAAAAUGUCUUCAUCGCUGCGUCUUUACAACCAAACAGGAACAGGCAGGCAGACUUUCCCCCCGCGGCCUCCGCCUCUGUGUGUGUGUGUGUGUGUGUGUGAGAGAGAGAGAGUGUGUUUUCUUCUGCAUACAGAUGGGCUGGUGUGAAAAGGCCUCUCCUUUUACACUUUUUUGUUGUUGUGGAGAGUUAGUUAGAGCCGCUCCAGUCUGGGGUGUGGCUCAGUUCCCAUUUGCCCCCUCAGGCCUGUUUUACAUUUUCAAAACAAGCCAGAUUUGCUUUAAACACACACACACACACACACACCUCGGAAAAAAAAACACAAUCAAAGGUCUGGAAUUUCUCUCUUUACAACCUCACCGUUAAUAUAGAACAUCGUCGUUAAUUUCUCUCUGUUUUUGGACGUUGACAGAACAGAAAAAAGAACUCCACCAGAGUAAAAACUGUCAUGGAUUUAUCAGAGAUGAAGAACCUGAGUUUAAUCUGAGUUUAAUCUGAGUUUAAUCUGAGUUUAAUCUGAGUUUAAUCAUGAUCUUUUCUUUCAGGAAAAUAAUUUAAAAAAACAAACCUCGGUUGUGGUUCUAGAUCAGAACCUGUUGAUGAUCUUCAGUCCAAAUGAAAAAUGAAAUGAUUCUUUUUUUUUCAGGGUUCAAUAAAACCCCGGCUCAAACCAAAGGUCACAGGUCAACACUGAUGAGACCAGUCUGAACUGGUUUUAGUCCAGGCCUGAUGGUCGCUCUGUCUGAGGACUUUUUGACUCAGCCUGGGAGGUGAAACAACAGGAACGGGACAAGUUUGGACGUAAGUUUUUUUCGAAGUCGUUGACUCUGAUGGGAUUCCUUCAUUGUUUGUCCAUCAGCACUGAGUGACUGCUGCUGCCCUCCACUGUUCGGAGGUCAUUACCACCUCAGUAAUGAACCCACGCUGACUCUGGUCAUCAAUUAGCAACAAUCACGGCACCAAUUCACACGUAUGUGGCCGUCAGCGCCCCUGCUGGGCCGCCUUUGUUCCUGCUGCCUUUCACAUGC